AGUGAACGCUGGCGGUAGGCCUAACACAUGCAAGUCGAACGGCAGCACAGGAGAGCUUGCUCUCUGGGUGGCGAGUGGCGGACGGGUGAGGAAUACAUCGGAAUCUACUUUUUCGUGGGGGAUAACGUAGGGAAACUUACGCUAAUACCGCAUACGACCUACGGGUGAAAGCAGGGGAUCUUCGGACCUUGCGCGAUUGAAUGAGCCGAUGUCGGAUUAGCUAGUUGGCGGGGUAAAGGCCCACCAAGGCGACGAUCCGUAGCUGGUCUGAGAGGAUGAUCAGCCACACUGGAACUGAGACACGGUCCAGACUCCUACGGGAGGCAGCAGUGGGGAAUAUUGGACAAUGGGCGCAAGCCUGAUCCAGCCAUACCGCGUGGGUGAAGAAGGCCUUCGGGUUGUAAAGCCCUUUUGUUGGGAAAGAAAUCCAGCUGGCUAAUACCCGGUUGGGAUGACGGUACCCAAAGAAUAAGCACCGGCUAACUACGUGCCAGCAGCCGCAGUAACAC
rnacentral:rRNA from 1 species